rnacentral:rRNA from 1 species
GAUGAACGCUGGCGGCGUGCCUAACACAUGCAAGUCGAACGAGAAGCUAACUUCUGAUUCCUUCGGGAUGAUGAGGUUAGCAGAAAGUGGCGAACGGGUGAGUAACGCGUGGGUAAUCUACCCUGUUAAGUGGGGGAUAACCCUCCGAAAGGAGGGCUAAUACCGCAUAAUAUCUUCUCCUCUAAAAGAGGUAAAGAUUAAAGAUGGCCUCUAUACUAUGCUAUCACUUCAGGAUGAGCCCGCGUCCUAUUAGUUAGUUGGUGGGGUAAUGGCCUACCAAGACCACAAUGGGUAGCCGGUCUGAGAGGAUGUACGGCCACACUGGGACUGAGAUACGGCCCAGACUCCUACGGGAGGCAGCAGUGGGGAAUAUUGCGCAAUGGGGGAAACCCUGACGCAGCGACGCCGCGUGGAUGAUGAAGGCCCUUGGGUUGUAAAAUCCUGUUCUGGGGGAAGAAAGCUUAAAGGUCCAAUAAACCCUUAAGUCUGACGUACCCCAAGAGAAAGCUCCGCUAAUU